GGUUGACCUCGGAUCAGGUAGGGAUACCCGCUGAACUUAAGCAUAUCAAUAAGACGGAGGAA
rnacentral:rRNA from 2 species